AUGUCACAUGUUCGACGAAAUGCUCGCACCAGGUCGCCACCACCGACAAAGUCGACAAGGUCACCACCGUCUACCACGAGUCCGUCAUCGACCUCAGUGACAAGACCGGAUGAGGACACACUCGUGGCGGCCACUCCGGACGUCGCCGUCGAGCUUGCCGUCCUCUCAAGCGUCUCCUUCUCCACCAACAAGGUCCAUGAGGUCAUUGUUGUUCCCCGCAGUGCGUCCCCUGUCUACAUCGGCAUGGCGCCUUCCACCUGUUCGACGAAAUGCUCCAACCAAGUUGGUGCCACUUCGUUCCCGUCUCCAGUCACGACGGCAUCGCUACUCCCAGCAGCCACACGUGAGCUCGUCGCCGACCUCGUUUGUCCUGCUACCAAAGCCGUCAAUUCGAUGCAGCCGUUCCGGAAGCAUGACUUGGAUGUCUCGCCGCACACAAGCCACCAGGGCCGCCUGCUGCUACGGCCGAUGCCGUGGCCAUCAUUGCGGGCAACUCGUAUUGCAGAGGGAAUGGAGACUCGACCCAUUCUGUGGCCGUCGUUUGCAAUCGGUAUGCCAUCAGAAGUCUGUCAUUCUAGUGUUGCCCAUUGGAACUUCUCAGUGACUACUUCUGUUCAUGGCCUUCAUGCAUGGACAUUCAGGGAACAUCCAUUUCAGUUUGCCCAGGUGCUUGACAUGGCUUUGACUAGUAGCAGCUUUCCAAUGGAAUCAUGUCAUGUUGGAGAUCUUGUGGGUAAUCACCGUGGACACCGCAUACAGAAGAAUUUUUCUAGUGAUCUAAAUAUGAUGAGAGAAUCCUGGUGGUGUCUGCAAAUUGCGCAACAGAAAACAUUUCUUUUAGAGAAGGCUAUUUGUUGGAUCCCUCUGGUGCCAAGAUCUCUUCCUACUCCGAGUCAGCAACUAAUGCAACAAAAAGACACUGUGAACUUCACUGAUGCGGAACGGGUGCCAGUUAUAUCUUCUUUGCAGUCAUACUAUGAGUUUCAUGCUCAAGCUCGAGAAACUUCUUGUACCCGUAGGUUCUUUGUUUCAACUGAGCUACAGAGUUACCAUGGAACCAAGCUACGACCAAAACCAUCGCCACUAUUCGACUUCAAUCAAGACACCACCCAGCUGAAGAUAAAAAUGGACAUCUUUUUCAUGCAAUUGCCGAACAGUACACGUGGGGUUCGAGCACUGAAUGUGUGGUCAGCUCUAUCCAAGGGUAAUGAGCAUGCCAAUGCACUAGCAAUUUUUGAGCCAAGAGCAAUUGAAGAGCUUGCCAUACUGACCAGUUUUCAGUGCUGCUUCUUCAAACGUACACCAGAUUGGAUACUAUUGAUCAGGCCACCUACGGAAAAGAGAACAUCAGAGGACAAGAAUCCAUUAGUAUGGGCACUUUUCACAGAUGCUUGA
rnacentral:rRNA from 1 species